rnacentral:rRNA from 1 species
GAUCCUGGCUCAGGACGAACGCUGGCGGCGCGCCUAACACAUGCAAGUCGAACGAGCGAGAGAGAGCUUGCUUUCUCGAGCGAGUGGCGAACGGGUGAGUAACGCGUGAGGAACCUGCCUCAAAGAGGGGGACAACAGUUGAAACGACUGCUAAUACCGCAUAAGCCCACGGGUCGGCAUCGACCAGAGUAAGGGAAAAGGCGACAACGUCCGUCUUAGAGAGUCGCCUCGCCGUCCGUAAUUA